rnacentral:siRNA from 1 species
GAGUGGUGCUCUAAUCCUCCCC